AAGCCGAGCGGUAGAGUUUCGGAUCUUGAGAGCGGCGUCGGGUGCGGAACACGUGUGCAACCUGCCUUUAUCUGGGGGAUAGCCUUUCGAAAGGAAGAUUAAUACCCCCAUAAUAUACUGGAUGGCAUCAUUCGGUAUUGAAAAACUCCCGGUGGAUAGAGAUGGGCACGCGCAAGAUUAGAUAGUUGGUGAGGUAACGGCUCACCAAGUCUACGAUCUUUAGGGGGCCUGAGAGGGUGAUCCCCCACACUGGUACUGAGGACACGGACCAGACUCCUACGGGAGGCAGCAGUGAGGAAUAUUGGACAAUGGGUGAGAGCCUGAUCCAGCCAUCCCGCGUGAAGGACGACGGCCCUAUGGGUUGUAAACUUCUUUUGUAUAGGGAUAAACCUAGAUACGUGUAUCUAGCUGAAGGUACUAUACGAAUAAGCACCGGCUAACUCCGUGCCAGCAGCCGCGGUAAUACGGAGGGUGCAAGCGUUAUCCGGAUUUAUUGGGUUUAAAGGGUCCGUAGGCGGAUCUGUAAGUCAGUGGUGAAAUCUCACAGCUUAACUGUGAAACUGCCAUUGAUACUGCAGGUCUUGAGUGUUGUUGAAGUAGCUGGAAUAAGUAGUGUAGCGGUGAAAUGCAUAGAUAUUACUUAGAACACCAAUUGCGAAGGCAGGUUACUAAGCAACAACUGACGCUGAUGGACGAAAGCGUGGGGAGCGAACAGGAUUAGAUACCCUGGUAGUCCACGCCGUAAAAGCUAACUCGUUUUUGGGGCGUAAGCUUCAGAGUAAGCGGAAAGGAUAAGUUCCCCCG
rnacentral:rRNA from 1 species